UAAUGGCCGGGAUAGCUCAGUUGGUAGA
rnacentral:tRNA from 1 species